rnacentral:rRNA from 1 species
GGCUCAGAUUGAACGCUGGCGGCAUGCUUUACACAUGCAAGUCGAACGGUAACAGGCCUUCGGGCGCUGACGAGUGGCGAACGGGUGAGUAAUGCAUCGGAACGUGCCCAGAGGUGGGGAUAACGCAGCGAAAGCUGUGCUAAUACCGCAUAUUAUCUGAGGUUGAAAGCGGGGGACCUUCGGGCCUCGCGCUACUGGAGCGGCCGAUAUCAGAUUAGGUAGUUGGUGGGGUAAAGGCCUACCAAGCCGACGAUCUGUAGCUGGUCUGAGAGGACGACCCAGCCACACUGGGACUGAGACACGGCCCAGACUCCUACGGGAGGCAGCAGUGGGGAAUUUUGGACAAUGGACGCAAGUCUGAUCCAGCAAUGCCGCGUGCAGGACGAAGGCCUUCGGGUUGUAAACUGCUUUUGUACAGAACGAAAAGGCUCUGGUUAAUACCUGGGGCUCAUGACGGUACUGUAAGAAUAAGCACCGGCUAACUACGUG